rnacentral:rRNA from 1 species
GAGUUUGAUCCUGGCUCAGAAUCAACGCUGGCGGCGCGCUUAACACAUGCAAGUCGAACGAGAAAGGGGGCAACCCCCGAGUAAAGUGGCGUACGGGUGAGUAACACGUGGGUAAUCUGCCUCUGGGUGGGGAAUAACUCUGGGAAACCGGAGCUAAUACCGCAUAAGCCUGAGAAGGGAAAGGCGAAAGUCGCCGAGAGAGGAGCCCGCGGCUGAUUAGCUGGAUGGUGGGGUAAAGGCUCACCAUGGCAAUGAUCAGUAGCCGGCCUGAGAGGGCACACGGCCACACUGGCACUGAAACACGGGCCAGACUCCUACGGGAGGCAGCAGUGGGGAAUCUUGCGCAAUGGGGGAAACCCUGAUGCAGCGACGCCGCGUGAGCGAUGAAGCCCUUCGGGGUGUAAAGCUCUUUCGGCAGGGACGAUGAUGACGGUACCUGAAGAAGAAGCUGCGGCUAACUACGUGCCAGCAGCCGCGGUAAUACGUAGGCAGCGAGCGUUGUUCGGAGUUACUGGGCGUAAAGCGUGCGUAGGCGGUGGUCCAAGUCUGGUGUGAAAUCUCCCGGCUCAACCGGGAGGGUGCGCCGGAACUGGGCUGCUGGAGUGCGGGAGGGCAAGCGGAAUUCCUGGUGUAGCGGUGAAAUGCGUAGAUAUCUGGAGGAACACCCGUGGUUGCAGACGGCUUGCUGGACCGUGACUGACGCUGAGGCACGAAAGCGUGGGUAGCAAACAGAUUAGAUACCUGGUAGUCCACGCCCUAAACGAUGCAUACCUGGUGUGGCAGUUCAGUCCUGUUCCGUGCCGAAGUUUACCGCGAUAAGUAUGCCGUCUUGGGGAGUACGGUCGCAAGCUGAGCUCAAAGGAAUUGACCGGGGGCCC